rnacentral:rRNA from 1 species
AGCAGCCGCGGUAAUUCCAGCUCCAAUAGCGUAUAUUAAAGUUGUUGCAGUUAAAAAGCUCGUAGUUGAAUUUCGGGAUCAAUAUAUCGGUCGUGCCUUUGGUACGUACUGGUAUCAUUGAUUUCUCCUUUCUGACGAAUCAUGAUGUCAUUAAUUUGGUGUUAUGAGGAGUUAGGACUGUUACUUUGAAAAAAAUUAGAGUGUUUAAAGCAGGCAUUAGCUUGAAUACAUUAGCAUGGAAUAAUGAAAUAGGACGUUUGACCCUAUUUUGUUGGUUUUUAGGAUCGACGUAAUGAUUAAUAGGGAUAGUUGGGGGGCAUUAGUAUUCAAUUGUCAGAGGUGAAAUUCUUGGAUUUAUUGAAGACUAACUACUGCGAAAGCAUUUUGCCAAGGAUGUUUUCAUUAAUCAAGAACGAAAGUUAGGGGAUCGAAGACGAUCAGAUACCGUCGUAGUCUUAACCAUAAACUAUGCCGACUAGGGAUCGGAUGAUGUUAAUUUUUUAAUGACUCAUUCGGCGCC